rnacentral:rRNA from 1 species
AUUGAACGCUGGCGGCAGGCCUAACACAUGCAAGUCGAGCGGCAGCGGGAAAGUAGCUUGCUACUUUUGCCGGCGAGCGGCGGACGGGUGAGUAAUGCCUGGGGAUCUGCCCAGUCGCGGGGGAUAACUACUGGCAACGGUAGCUAAUACCGCAUACGCCCUACGGGGGAAAGCAGGGGACCUUCGGGCCUUGCGCGAUUGGAUGAACCCAGGUGGGAUUAGCUAGUUUGUGAGUUAACGGCUCACCAAGGCGACGAUCCCUAGCUGGUCUGAGAGGAUGCGCAGACACACUGGAACUGAGACGCGGUCCAGACUCAUACGGGAGGCGUCAGUGGGGAAUAUUGCACAAUGGGGGAAACCCUGAUGGAGCCAUGCCGCGUGUGUGAAGAAGGCAUUCGGGUGGUAAAGCACUUUCAGCGAGGAGGAAAGGUUGGUAGCUAAUAACUGCCAGCUGUGACGUUACUCGCAGAAGAAGCACCGGCUAACUCCGUGCCAGCCGCCGCAGUAAUAC